rnacentral:tRNA from 1 species
UAGCUCAGCUGGUAGAGCAACUGACUUGUAAUCAGUAGGUCCCGAGUUCGACUCUUG